UUACGGCCAAAUCAAGUUGAAACACCGGUUCCCGUACGAUCCCUGAAGUUAAGCAAUGUUGUCCCUGCUCAGUACCUAGAUGGGUGAAGGCUUGGGAAUAGCAGUUGCUGUAAG